UCGGACCUGAGGAACCGAGGCCCCCAGCAGUGAGCUAGCUGCUUCAGAGUCAGCCUGAGGUUUGUAGGUUUGGGAUAGACCGGGGAGUCUUCCAGGUUGAAGUUAUGUCUUUGUAAUAGUUAGUUGUGGACAUGAAUUGCAAAAUGAUGUAUUGUAAAAUAGUGUAAAAUAAUAUAUUGAGGAUUAGCAUUGUGCUUGGCCCUAAUGUAUGAGAAUCCCCUAUUAUACAUGAUCUUUUGUUAAGGUUUUAAUGUUAAAA